rnacentral:rRNA from 1 species
AUGGCGACCGGCGCACGGGUGCGUAACGCGGUAUGCAACCUAACCUGUAACAGGGGGAUAACACUGAGAAAUCGGUACUAAUACCGCAUAACACUAUGAGAGGCAUCUCUUGUGGUUGAAAGUUUCGGCGGUUACAGAUGGGCAUGCGUUGUAUUAGCUGGUUGGUAAGGUAACGGCUUACCAAGGCGACGAUACAUAGGGGGACUGAGAGGUUAACCCCCCACAUUGGUACUGAGACACGGACCAAACUCCUACGGGAGGCAGCAG